UACCCCUUGGUAAAAAUUGUUGUAACGGCAGGGGUUAGUAAGAGGCUGGUUUCCAGCCUGCCCAAUAUCCCUGAAACUAUAAAAAAG
rnacentral:ncRNA from 12 species